GACGAACGCUGGCGGCGUGCUUAACACAUGCAAGUCGAACGGAAAGGCCCUGCUUUUGUGGGGUGCUCGAGUGGCGAACGGGUGAGUAACACGUGAGUAACCUGCCCUUGACUUUGGGAUAACUUCAGGAAACUGGGGCUAAUACCGGAUAGGAGCUCCUGCUGCAUGGUGGGGGUUGGAAAGUUUCGGCGGUUGGGGAUGGACUCGCGGCUUAUCAGCUUGUUGGUGGGGUAGUGGCUUACCAAGGCUUUGACGGGUAGCCGGCCUGAGAGGGUUACCGGCCACAUUGGGACUGAGAUACGGCCCAGACUCCUACGGGAGGCAGCAGUGGGGAAUAUUGCACAAUGGGCGGAAGCCUGAUGCAGCAACGCCGCGUGCGGGAUGACGGCCUUCGGGUUGUAAACCGCUUUCGACUGUGACGAAGCGUGAGUGACGGUAAUGGGUAAAGAAGCACCGGCUAACUACGUG
rnacentral:rRNA from 1 species